rnacentral:rRNA from 1 species
GACGAACGCUGGCGGCGUGCUUAACACAUGCAAGUCGAACGGAAAGGCCCUGCUUUUGUGGGGUGCCCGAGUGGCGAACGGGUGAGUAACACGUGAGUAACCUGCCCUUGACUUUGGGAUAACUUCAGGAAACUGGGGCUAAUACCGGAUAGGAGCUCCUGCUGCAUGGUGGGGGUUGGAAAGUUUCGGCGGUUGGGGAUGGACUCGCGGCUUAUCAGCUUGUUGGUGGGGUAGUGGCUUACCAAGGCUUUGACGGGUAGCCGGCCUGAGAGGGUGACCGACCACAUUGGGACUGAGAUACGGCCCAGACUCCUACGGGAGGCAGCAGUGGGGAAUAUUGCACAAUGGGCGGAAGCCUGAUGCAGCAACGCCGCGUGCGGGAUGACGGCCUUCGGGUUGUAAACCGCUUCCGCCUGUGACGAAGCGUGAGUGACGGUAAUGGGUAAAGAAGCACCGGCUAACUACGUG